rnacentral:misc_RNA from 1 species
UCUCCGUUGGUGAACCAGCGGAGGGAUCAUUACCGAGUUUACAACUCCCAAACCCCAUGUGAACCUUACCAAACGUUGCUUCGGCGGGAUGCCCCGGGCGCGGGCCGCAAGGCCUCAGCCCCGGAACCAGGCGCUCGCCGGAGGCCCAAACCAAACUCUUGUUUUUGUAGAAUCUUCUGAGUGGCCUUUUAGGCAAAAAAUGAAUCAAAACUUUCAACAACGGAUCUCUUGGUUCUG